rnacentral:rRNA from 1 species
UACGUAGGCAGCAAGCGUUGUUCGGAAUUACUGGGCGUAAAGAGUGUGUAGGCGGUGUUCUAAGUCUGUUGUGAAAUCUCCCGGCUUAACUGGGGAACUGCGUCUGAUACUGGUUGGCUUGAGUGCAGGAGAGGAACGCGGAAUUCCAGGUGUAGCGGUGAAAUGCGUAGAUAUCUGGAGGAACACCGGUGGCGAAGGCGGCGUUCUGGACUGCAACUGACACUGAGGAACGAAAGCCAGGGGAGCAAACGGG